AGAGGUGUGCUCUUGCGAUCUCCAGUCUACACUUUGCAACAUCAUAUGCAAAUAAGUUGUAACAAAGUGGACCAAACAAGAAUGAACUUU